GUACAUUGAAAAUUUUGAGUAAGUUAAGUUUACAAUAAUAAAUGUGAGACAUUAAAAUUAACCUUAGGUAAUUAGAAUGUGACUUUUUAAAUGAAAUGGGUUUUGGAAUUCAACCCAAUUAAAGUUGGAAAGAGUUGACAGAAUUUCUAUUGGUUACAUAGCAGAAUUGUAAAGAAAAUCAUACAUAUUUAAAAUCAAACUUCAAAACAUUUUUCGGCCUUAGGGGCUUCUUUGUAAAAAAAAUAAAAAAAAAAACUUCAAAACAUAGGAAAUUAGAAAAGAAGGUAAAUUAAUGGGAUCAGUCAUGAUUGAGGGCUUCGAUUUUUCUUGAAUCUGAUACACCAUUUGAGCAUGAGUUCCUCAAUGCUGGCAUCCAUGCGUGUACCAACACCUCCCCAAACCAGCAUGUGUGGAAUAUCCCCAAUUGAUGAACCACUCACUUGGCACACCUCUCUAAAUCCAAGUCUGCUGUAGAACCUAACCAACUAUACAUAAAGAAUAAAAGAAAAUAUAAACUUAAAAGACAACGAAUUUAUCACACAUGACACUAUUAUUGUCAGAAUUAGUGAUUUACUGCUAAACUUUU
rnacentral:lncRNA from 1 species